rnacentral:rRNA from 1 species
UACGUAGGGUGCGAGCGUUGUCCGGAAUCACUGGGCGUAAAGGGCGCGUAGGCGGCUUUAUAAGUCGGGGGUGAAAGCCUGUGGCUCAACCACAGAAUUGCCUUCGAUACUGUAGAGCUUGAGACCGGAAGAGGUAAGUGGAACUGCGAGUGUAGAGGUGAAAUUCGUAGAUAUUCGCAAGAACACCAGUGGCGAAGGCGGCUUACUGGUCCGGUUCUGACGCUGAGGCGCGAAAGCGUGGGGAGCAAACAGG